CGGCGAAAGGGAGAGUAACGCGUAGGAUACCUGCCCCCAGGUCUGGGAUAGCGGUGGGAAACCGCCGGUAAUACCGGAUGAUGUCCCCGGACCAAAGGUGAGACUCCGCCUGGGGAUGGUCCUGCGUCCUAUUAGUUUGUUGGUGGGGUAAUGGCCUACCAAGACGUUGAUGGGUAGCGGGCGUGAGAGCGUGGCCCGUCUCACUGGGACUGAGACACUGCCCAGACACCUACGGGUGGCUGCAGUCGAGAAUCUUCCGCAAUGGACGCAAGUCUGACGGAGCGACGCCGCGUGCGGGAUGAAGGCCUUCGGGUUGUAAACCGCUGUCAGUGGGGUGGAAAUGCAAGGGGGCAAUCCCCUUUGUUUGACCUAACCGCAGAGGAAGUCCGGGCUAAGUACGUGCCAGCAGCCGCGGUAAU
rnacentral:rRNA from 1 species